UCUUCUAAUGAGAAUGUCUGAUCGCAUAUUAUGGUUAUAAACUGUUUACUGUUUAGUUGUUGAUACUGGAUUUUUAAACAUUUUUUGAAGGGUGGGAAAACAUGAUGGGUCUUAAUUUGCAAAAUGUGCAGUGUAAUGUUUAGGUAUUACGACAUGCCUCAUUUACGACAGUGUUGAUGAUUUAGCUGUUCCCUGUCUGAAGUUAACAUAAAGUGUUUGCGACCUGACGUUGAACGUUGAAGUUUUUGUAAGAGGUAGAACACUCGAGUGUUUUUGAUCAAAUCAAGGAUUCAACAUUACACUGGAUGAAAGUUCUGGAAUAUUUUGAACGCGCUCUUGUUUAAUCAUUUCAGAAGUUUAUACUGCUACAUAGAUGGCUUUAAGGAAUAUAGUACGGAUGAUUCUACUGUUCCAUAUAUUUUCUACAAAACGUGUACACACUCAGAGCACUAAUCUACAAUCAGUAUGUGUCACAGACGCUGAUUGCAGUGCAAAUGAUGCCGAAUGUGAUUUUAAUACAGACGCUACCAGACUAGAAUGUACAUGCAAGGAUAAGUUCACACAAAUUGGCGCGAACGGUUGUAGGCGUAAGUUUAAAACAAAACUGCAUACAUUUGUUGUACAAUUGUAUAUUUAUCGUAAAGACAAG